rnacentral:rRNA from 1 species
AUUGAACGCUGGCGGCAUGCCUUACACAUGCAAGUCGAACGGUAACAGGUCUUCGGAUGCUGACAAGUGGCGAACGGGUGAGUAAUACAUCGGAAGUGCCCGAUCGUGGGGGAUAACGGAGCGAAAGCUUUGCUAAUACCGCAUACGAUCUACGGAUGAAAGCGGGGGAUCUUCGGACCUCGCGCGGACGGAGCGGCCGAUGACAGAUUAGGUAUUGGUGGGAUAAAAGCUUACCAAGCCGACGAUCUGUAGCUGGUCUGAGAGGAUGAUCAGCCACACUGGGACUGAGACACGGCCCAG